ensembl:lncRNA
CCGCCUCCUACGUGGUUCCAGCGCGGCGCGCAGGCCGGUCCCGCAGGGGGCAGGGACGGGGCCGGCCAGGCAGAGCGAGAGGUCUUUACCUCACAAAAAGUACUACAAGCACCAAGCUCCCUGAUGGAAAGGAGCAUCGUGCAACAAGUCACCAGGGUGGUCCAUUCGUGCUGCGGAUUUGCCUGCCGUCCUUGGACCCCAGUCGCCUGCUCCACUGUCGCUGCAGGGAAGAGCAGCACAUGUCAGGUCACAGAACAGAAAGUGCUGGUGGACAUCUCUUCUUGCCCCAAGAUCUUCGUUGGAAGUCCUCCAGACUUGGUGUCUUAUUGAACUCGCCAGGAGGCAUAAUGUGUCACCAUUUUAUUGUGGGCCACCCUAAAGGAUGACACCCAGCUUCGGACACCUCCUGUUGGACAUCGUCCCCUGAGAGCCAAUGCUUUAACUCUCUCCCAUUGUCCGGAGUCUGUUUCCGACUGGUUUUGAGCUGGUGCGGGCUUAGUCAUUCAUGACCCGGACCCAGUUGAAUGUUGCUUGAUCACCUUUUGUCGCUUGCUGAACAGCACUUCCCUCUUGGGCUCUCGGGGAGUCUUUGCACCGACCCGCUAGAAACAAGGCACCUAUCCAUUCUUUCCAUCUUGGAGGUUGCCCACGGCCAUAUCCCGGGGUGACCUGGAGUAGAAGCAGUGGAGGAUAAAUUAAUUCAUCCUGCACAGACUUGUUUCAGCUAGUUCUAGCCUGUCUCUCGCCCCAGCUCCAGCUUUUAAAUAUGCCAGUGAUUGGUUUUGUGUAGGAAUGUGUGGAUUGUUGGAUUGGAAGAAUUCUCUCCCUGGAUUUCUAGUGUUUACAUAAGCAGAUAUUUAAAAAAUGUUCUAUCCCUGAUUUAAAUAGCAGGGGUUAUUUUUAAAAAGUUAUGGGCGCCUGAAGGGAUACAGAAUAAAAGCAUAAGUUUUGUUUUUUCUUUCUUACAAGUUGUAACGGAACCAAAAGGUGUAUGGUAAUGUUUUGUCAGGAAAAGGUCAAAACAGAAAGUUUGCAACAGAGACAAACUAGAAUAGAACAAGUGUGAAGAGAGGCUGACAAAUAUAUGCCCCUUGUUGGGAGUUCAGCCCGUGGAAUGUUAUGUAGGACACAAGGAAUGGAAGAGAUAUUUCAGUAACAUUUUGUUCUCUGUCAAAAACCUUCUGAAAUAUAAAUCUGCUGUGUAUUGGAGGAUGGAGACGGCAGUUGAUUCGAAUUGAAUGGCUUUCAUUUAACUAGAGUAUCCCACAGAAAGCAGUUCUUGUUCUGACAACUGUAUUUUUGCUUUCUUUGACCUAGCAAAAAUUGGAUUCCUGUUUACAUAUCUUGUAGGAUUGUUUUAUGGACAACGAUACAGGUCAAAUCCCAUCACAGUGGCCAGUGUUAUGGCAAAUAGAAAUAUUUCUAAAUGAAAUACAAACAUUUCUAAGCCACAGCCGGAGUAUGCAGUAAUAAUAAGUUGGUAAUAUGAAGCCAUUUGCAACUAUAAAUAAUUCAGUUGUAGAUGUGCUUUAAAAAAAACUGUCUUAUUUUAAUUCUAGUCUCUUGCCGACGCACACAAUCAUACACUUGUAGCUCACCUAUUUGCCUAGUAGAGGAGCAACAGGAAUAUAUAUAAUCGUAGAAGUCAACUUUAUUUUGAUCCCUGGAACAGGUUACUUUUUCUCUUCUCCUCACGAUGGUUUCUGUAAUUGCCUCCAACUGCCAAACUUUGGUGAUUACCCACAAAUAUGAAUGGCUCUUUCUAAGGGUCUUGCCCCGUCAUCCAACCGAGCCCAAAGCUAGUAGCCAGAGUUAGUGCUGUAAGGAGCUGAGCUUCAAAAUUAAGGGUCCUUUGCAAGGGGUGGUCUGAUUUGAUUAUCCAUUGUGCACCCCCCCAGGAGAAAGGAGGUGCUUAUUCUUUCGGUUUUAAAUCCCUGGAUCAAAGCAAGACAUGCUCGUGCAAGAGUUCAAGGCAGCUGGGGAAUUUAGUGUCUAAAAAAGGAGGGGGUGGAGAUAAAGUGUGAUGCUCCCCAGGUUCAGUCCUCAGUACUGCAAACAAGCAAACAGACAAACAGACCAUUCAUUCUGGCAUUGAUCCUGGCCUCAGAGUCCAGAAUCAGUGAGUUCAGUCUUAAUUUUUAGCAUUAACUAUUUUUUGAAUUAGUGAACCUUGCUUUAUUGUUAUGCCUAUGAGAGGACAACUUUCUUUUUAUUUUUAUUAACUCAUGUUAAUUGUACACAUUCACUUGGGCAUUUCCAUGUUAAUUGUACACAUUCACUUGGGUUCCACUUGGGUAUUUCUAUCCAUGCAUAUAUCUUGCCUUGAUCAUUCCCACUUUUAAACACAGUAAGUCAGACACAGGAAGACAGGUGUCGGGUGUUUUCUUUCAUAUAUGGAGACUGGGAAAAAGAGAUCUGAAAGUAGAGAGGGAUCUAUUAGGGAAUAGGAAGCGUUAACUAUUACUCCUGAACUACUCUCUAUAGUUUUUGAUUCAGUACACUCUGAGGUUCCCCCAGAUCCCUUAUGGACUAAAAUACAGAAUAUCCAUUUUUUUAAUGGGAGGGUCUAACUAUGUUCCCCUGGCUAGUCUCAAACUCCUGGGCUCAAGUGAUCCUCCUGUUUCAGCCUUGCAAGCAAGUGGGAGUACAGGGGCAUGACGCCAUGCCUGGCUAUAAAUACAGCUAUUGUAACACAGCAGAAUUGAUGAUCAAGAGAGAGCUCUAGAAAUAAAGGCCCCCUAGGUUUUAACCUUCUAUCUUCAAAGUUCUUGUCUGCAUGCCUUAUAUUUUAUUUCCUCUCUGUUUAUACUAAUUUAUACUUGUGUUUAUUGUUUUCUUACUUAAAAACUACUUGAAAAAAAUUCAUAGCCCUUACAAAUUUGAAAGCAUCUCAACCUAUUCAUCCUUCUUACCUUGGCCAUCUUUUGUCAUCGCUAGGCCACUUCUUCCCUUCCUACUUCUCUUCUGGGAUUUCACUGCUUAGCAGUUCCAGUGUAUGAUUCUGGAUAUGAUGGUUUGAGCUUCCUGACCAACGUCUCUUUGCAGCUGAGUCUAUUCCCUGUGCUCAAAGCUGUUGGCAUAUUCCAUUCACAGCUCCUACUCAAAUUGAAACUUGUUGCACUCAGAUCAGGCCUUAGCACUAUUAAUUUCUUCCUCUCUAUUUCUCGAUCCAUUGUUAUUUCCCAGUGACUAAAAUCUGCUUGUCACUAAGAACUUCAUUUUGAUGUCACUUACUAAAGACCUCUUGGAUUUUUCUACUCUCCUGAUACGCUUCACAGCUUCACGCUACAACGACCAUCAACAGGUCUUUGACAAAUUAGUUGUCCCUACAUGUGAUUUACAAUAUUACACUGGCUGUUUAAAAAUUAUUAAACUUCUCUCUGUGUACUUUGCUGUGGGUCAAGAACUUUACUUGUUUUGCCAUCCAACACAGAAGUUAAUCACAAACGGGUCCUCUAAACCAGAUAAUUAAAAAUAGAGCAAAGUUUCUGAACUAGGCAUUUGGCACAAAAGUUCUCACUUCCAUCUGUGCGUGGUUAGGAAAAUAUUUCAUGAUAUUUAAAUAGCAUUAGCUUUGCUCUCUUGUGUGAGAGUGUCUGUGAGUCUGUGUGUAAUUCAUUGCUCUGGAGGUUUAUUUGACUGUUAGCUAAUCUUAUGUUUUUUUAAAGUCACUGGCAAGGAAACAGGAAAGCAAAUCCAGGUGUUUUGUGCCUGCUUUCUUUAUUUGCUAGCUUCUGUGAAGGAACAGUGGUCCGCUCUGGCUUUUCUCUUUAACUCAUAGUUUUCCUCCUACAUGUGGUUCAGAAAAUGAAAGAGCAUACAUUUUGAUUUAUAAAUCUUUGUGUGUUUUAAUUCUCCACAUACAAGUCACCUUUGCUAAAGGCUUUUUAGGAGCUAUUCUGAUAGACGCAAAAUGCUGAUGAAUCUGUUUCAAUUUGGAAUGUGUCAGAUUAGGAUUUUUUUGCUCUCUGGAAAGGGGAUUGAUGCCUAGAAUGUACAGCAGACUCAUAAACACUUUGUGACUUAAACACAGACAUGUGAGUGACUGGAUUGAAGAGGAAUUUAAUCCUUCAACUUCGACUGUGCUUUGUUCUCAUAAGUAAUCAGUAUCUCCUAAAAUAUAUUCACCAGUUCUGUAGCUGUGAUUAGAUUUUAAAAGUGCACUGUCUGUUUAUAAGGUUUAAAUUGCUAAAUAAUACAAAGGUUAUACCUUUCUGGUAUUUUUCUGUUGCAAUCAUCCCUUUAUUCCUGGAAAACUCUUAUUUUAAGGUUGGUUUCUUUUUUCCAGGAGAGUUGUUGUAUUAAAUAACACUAAUGCCCCGUAAAUAUACUAAAGAUUAGGAAUUAUUUUUAAAAAUGUCUUUCAUACCUCCAGCUCUGAAGUGUAUAUAUGUAUGUAUUUCUCAGAGUUGUUAGUUUGCUUAUGUUUCUAGAAACUAGAGAGUAGGCAUAUUCCUAAUACUAUAAUAAUAAAAUUAAACACUGAAGUCAAAAGCAGAGGAUUGAUCAUGCUCAUAUUAAUUGAAAUUAAGAAAGGAGAAGUAGCUUCAAUCAUUUUCAUUAGCAGUGGUGGGUUCUUGUGUUUAGCUCUCCAUGCUGGUUUGAUUAUUUAGGCAGUUUGUCAUUCAUGAAAUUUAAAAUCAGAAGGAACCUUAAACAUUUUUUUGUCCAACUUCCUCAUUUUACAUUCCAGUUAAUUCUGUUCAUUUCUGUGUGCAAAGCAGUGGGCUAGGAGGGAGCAAUAAAGUUGACUUAAGUUGUGACUCAUGGCUUCCGACAAAUUAAUCUUUGAUUUUCUUUUCUGUAUUAUUCAAGGGACAACUUUUAACAAGGCAUAAGUGAAUUUUGCCAAUUGUUAUUCUUGGUCAGUGUAAGAAAUUAGGGAUGAAUGUAUUUUGUGAGCUCUGGUGAAUGAAAGAUGUCUUUAUACUUCAGGGUCCUGCUGAACUGUAGACCGUCCCAAGACAGAAUUCUGGUCUUCUCUUCUACAAGACAACCAGCACUGCUAAUAUUAAAGAGACUCCCCCCAAAUGUGCCCGAUAUUCAUGUUCUUCACACUUUUGCUGUGGAACCCUUACAGUGUUUCUUCCGUUUAUUUGGGCACCUCUGAUACUGACAUCUGGUAUUUCACUUACAAGAGCCGAAUUUCAUGAUUGAUAUUCUUAUCCCAUAAAUCAUUGUUAGUAAAUAUUAUUUACUAGACUUGUGAUCGAAAACACAACAUAUAGUGUACACACUCAAGAAUGGUCACAGUGCAGAGAAGCUGCUGGUCUUUUAAUAAGAAUGACGCCCCCAGCUGACAUGCUGGGGACUGAGGAUGUGUCAGCCACUAGGUGUGAUCACCUAAUCCUCACCGCUAACCAGAUAGUUCCUUAUUAUCUCUAGCUAAAAGAUAAGUAACUGGGUUAGUAGUUUGCUCAAGGUCACAGAGCUGGUAAAUGGUAAGAUGGGGAUUUAACACCUGCCAUUUUAACCCCAGCCCCUCCGCUCAGAAGGAAUAUAAAAUUUAUUACUUACCACCUGGUGCCAUGGUGAGACUUGCAAAAUUAUUUUCAAAAACUUUUUUUUUUUUUGGUACUGGGGAUCGAACUCAGGUCCUUGCACUUGUGCAGCAGCCGUUGAAACCACUGAGCUAAAUUCCCAGCCCUACAAAUUUUUAAUAAGUGAAGAGGUAUUCAUUUUUUGGUUGCAAAUUGAACUCUUGCAUAAGUUUUUCUAAGGACUAUGAUUUGGUAGGAGGAGGUUCCAAUUUAGUCCAGUCUUAGCUGUUUGAGACUUAGAACUAUGUUAUGUUUAAAUUACUUCCAUGUUCUUACAAAAAUAUAAUUAAUUUAUAAAGAUGAAGAAGAACUACAUCUAGCUAAAUGUAAAAGUGUUUAUAAACUGGAUGCAGUAGUGCAUGCCUCUAAUCCCGGCACUCUGGGAGGCUGAGAUAGAAGAAUCUCAAGCUCCAGCCCAGUCUGAGCAUUUAGUGAGACCCUGUCUUAAAACUUAAAAAAAGGAGGGUAGGGGCGGGAUGUGGUUCAGUGUGAAGGUACCAAGUUUAAUCCAUAGUACUGCAAAAAACCAAAACAAAACAAAGCCUUAUAAAGUCUUUUGUGUGUAAAUUUUUUUUUUGUAUUAAAUUCUUUUAUUGGUACAUUGUAGGUAUACAACACAAUUACAUUUCUCAUUGGGAAUUGUACCUUUAUAUAAUGCAUCUUGGUUCUUAUUUUUUCCCCAUUCCUAGCCCUCCCUUCACGCCCUCCACCCUUCCCUAUUUACAAUUUUGUGUGUAAAUUUAUAUAGUCAUUUCCAUAAUCACGUUUACAUAUGUAUGUUAUAGUUACAUGUAUUUGUAUGUGUAAAUAUAGUAUGCACCCUUUAUAGAACUGAUGUUGAGGAACUCUAAGGAACCAGCUAUAUGAUUUGGAGUUUUAUCAAAUGGAGUGAAAUUUUCAAUGAUUAUGAUUUGGUCUGUAAAAAUAGGAAUAAUGAGAUCAAAGUGUAUAUGUCUACUUUUAUCUUCUAUCUCUUGUCUUUUUUGCUUAGAAACAAAUUUAUGUCGAAACAGUGUACCUAUGAACCUUCAUAUAUGAAAAAAAGAGCUACACAAGACACUUUGUUGCAGUUUGUCCAGGGUCUCAAAACAUGCUGUAAAAACUUGGAAACUGGAAGCAUCUUGGCAAAUGUAGCAUCAGCGUGUCACUGAUUUCGAAGCUUCUGUUGAGUAUUCUAAGUAGGUUCUGUGACAGCUCUUACUAGAGGAAUUGGUACCAGCUAAGAAAAUGUACAGUUUAAUACUUUAGAGCAAAUAAUUGCUUAGGAUGCCUUAAAUAGCACAGGAAAUGUGUAGAGUGUUUACUUGACAUUUGCUCUAUCGAACACUAAUACUGAAACAGAUUCUUCGACCACAGAGAACGCUGGUGUAGGUGGGGUGGGGGUGGACGGGAGAAAGAGGCAGAGAAAAAACAGCCAACACGAAGAGAUAAAAAGUAAAUGGCAAAUUAGUUUUUGUUUUUUUUCACUAUAUGGAGAUACCAGGAAAAUAAAAGCCCACUUGUUUGAUCCAGUGGCUUUGGAGUGUGGUAGAAAAAAGCAAAGGACAUAGAACUCUCUAGGAUUAGGUUUCUCCCUUGAAAGGUUGUCUUCACCUGGCCUUCAAAAGCCCUGUAGCCCCUGGGUGACCUGGUUUGUUUUUUAAAUCUUGAAAGCAAGAGGAAUGACCUCCCUUAAAAAAAAAAAAAAGAAGAAGGAGAAGGAGAAGGAGAGGAAAUUCCUCUUGUUAUCUGUUUAAUCUGCACAUGCUUGUGCACUUUUUUUUUAAAUGACAGCUCUGGCGCCCUCAUUUCUCAGUGUGGCUCAGUAUUUCUUGAGUUUUUCCCCCAAAUGCUUCUUGCUCUUUAGUGUUCUCGUCUCACUUCGCUGGCACUGUUCAAGUGGGACUUAUCUUACAAUGGGGUCUGGGUCAGUUUAGUGUAGCUCAGAAGUGCAGAGCAUUUUUUUUUUUUUUUUGCACAAACUGGUUACAAAGCACUGUGACUCGGUUGCAUUUAAUAAGAAAAAGUAGGGGAUAGUUUAGGAAACUGAGCCCUUUUCCAUUCAUAGGUUUGCCUCAACUCUGCAGCGUCUUUAAGGGAAUUUUAAAUGCAUCUGGUAAAAGCCAAUAGGCAAGCACACAGGAUGGGCUCAGGAAUGUGGAAUUGUGCAAUGUUAAUGAAAUCUGUUAGAAGCAUCCUCUUUUCUGUCUCCUCAACAGGAGCUGGUUUUAAAUACUCAAGGGAAUUUUGUAAACGAUGAUCCAAAGUCAGAACUUCCCCCUGCAGGUUAGCCCAGCGUCUACAACGCUCAGCAGAGGAAACGCUGUAUUUAUGGCUUUUCCCUGGAGUUGUGAUUUGACCUUGAAUAAAUCGUGUUCAACUUCUCGAUGCUUCAGUUAGCCUUUGAAAGAUAUGUGUGGUUGUGGAUGGCCUGUGGGAAGGCAGUAACUGAAGUUCACAACAGAAGGGGGACUUCAAGGAAAAUUUUAUUUGGAAAGAGCUGUGGGUAUGAAAGGAACCCUUAUGCAGGGGGCUAUUGGUGAACAAUCUUGCCAUGUGUGGCUCCUAAGUAAGGCAGGGGGUUUUCUUUUAACAAUCUUACUAUAUUUUAUAGAAUUAAAAUUUACAUAUAGAUUGUUUUAUAUUAUGUUAUGUUUACUAUAUAUUUUUAUUGGUUUAUCCUUUAACUCCAGAAAGAUUUGUGUUCAUACAUCUUCUACCUGUAAUGGGAUUUUUAUUUAUAAUGUUACAGUUUAAAUUGUAAUCAAGCAGUAACACAUUUUGUUUAAUAUGCAAAGACCUUUAAUUUUAUUUUGCAGAAGAAAGUCUAAGCCAGUUGUUUAAAAAGUUGCCUUGGAGAAGAUCUAAGUGGUUUUUCAUUCAUUUGGAGAGAGAGGGAGGAAAGUCAUCAGUAUUUAUUGAGCACCUACCCCGUGCCAGAUACAUUGCUACUAUGUGCCAUGUGUAUAUCCUGUGUGAUUUAUAUUCAUAGUGUCUUCCUUUUUAAGUGUAUCAGGGCUCAGUUAGGAGGGCCAGAAUCCAUAGGAAAAAAUGAAAUAUACCUAUUGUUAUGGAUAAUUAAAAAGAGGACUUUUUAGUUAGUAGCACUCAAAGCUCCAUAUCAUAAUGUAGGGCUGUGAGUUCCCCAUAAACCAAUUGCGGGUAGGUCCUCCAGCUCUGAGACCUCCCAGUGGUUGAGCGGGAUUGCAACACAGGGCUAAACCACAUCUCCCUGGUUAAGUCAUUUCAGUUAUUGCCUCAUUUAAGUUGCAUUGUUUUAAAAAGGAUGUAGGCACUCCAAGUUGCAGUGCCUCAAAUUUGAGCAAAAGAAUACAGACUUUGAAUGUAUUCCGAGCUUGGCUCUGGAGUCCUGGCUGCAGUAAAUACAAAAGCCAACAGCUCCAAGUUUAGAUGAGAAAACAUUUCAAAGAAAGCCAGAGAAGGCUUAUAUAUUUAACACAAUAUCCAUGACUCACUUUCUCUUUGCUCUGUCUGUCCAGCCGUUAUUCAUUCACUGCUAACCCCACAGGAAGGCUCCUUUUGAAGUUCCCUUUGGCUGCUUUGCAAGCCAUAUAAAUAUACACCUUAGGAGAAUAAGGGUGAGGGAAAAGAGACAGAGGUCACCAUUUUUAAUCCUGGUGCUGCCGAUAACAAACUAUGUGACCAGAUACUUAGACAGCAAGGGAGGAUGUUUUUAAAAUUCGUUCUCAGCUGCCAGGAGGCAGUUAUCAUUCUGUAAAAGGGCUUGUUUUGGGGUUUCUCAGAAGUCUGUAGAGUUUGGGUUGUGGAGGUUCCUGCAGGACUUUCUUGGUGGAUCAGCCUUAACAGGUGCGUAGAAGUAGCUCUGGGGGUGCAACAACACCUUCACAACCCUUAGCAGUUAUGCAUGUUGAAAUGUCACACUGUACUCCACCAAUAUGUGCAAUUACUGUGAGUCAGUUAAAAAUAAAACUAUAUUUUACGAAAGGACCCUUAGAGGUUAGGGCUAGACUGUCAGAAGAACUGAAAGGAAUAAAGUUUGUGUAAUGGGGAAGCAGAUACCAAGCUAUUCAGAAGCUACCACCCACACUUAGAAGGUUGUGUCUGGGUGAUGGGGUGUAGCUGAGUGUUCUGGAAGUGUGGGUCACACUUGUGGUUUGAAUGCCAGCCCCCGCACUGACCUUCUUGGCCAGCUCUUUGUGCCACAGUCUCUUCCUCUGCAGAUUGAGAAGAUCAUCAACACGCAGGCAAAAUGAGUCAGUGUAUGUACCAGUCCUAGAAGAGCACUGGGCAGCUAGAAAGUGCUAUCGACGCUACUACUGUCAUCACGUCUCUCUUCUUGGGUGUUUUCUAAUUUGUGUUGCAUUUAGGGUGGGUUACCAGGGUGAUGGUGGGGGUUGGGAUGGUGAGAGGGAGAUCUAGGGCUGUAGAGAGUGUGGCAGAGCCUGGUUCCAAGUGCUGUUUAUUUCUGAUCACCCGGCUCUGCUCACACAGCGCCAGAUCCCUCCCUUCACCUGUCCAUAUCCUACCUCACUGUCCAUAGGCAGCAUGAGCCUCUUUGUCUCUAGGGUACAAAGGUUUCCCCAGCUCCUGCAGCCCAGGUGAACCUCCCUCCCCACUGCCCUCAGCUCCCAGGUAUCUGUCUGCACAGCUCCUUUGACCAUAUCAUGCAGUGAUCCAUCUUGUCGCUGAGAUGUCUUGAUUCCCGGGCCCUCUCCUUGUGACUGGAGACCUUCACCUCCUCUCAACAUCCAGGGUGGUGUGGCAGGGAAGGGACCUGCCACCUUCUCCAGCUCUCUCUCUGUCCUGAGCCCAGCAUGCUCGAGAUUUUUGAUGUCUGGAAGCUCAGAACCUUCUCAUGCAAGAUGAGGGUCUAGACAAAAUGAUCUCUGCAUCUGUUCUUGUAGAUUUCUGGUGUUGGAGUACUAGGUGGUGGCGAAAUCCAUGUCAGAUGGAUGAAUGAAUGAAGUACAAUCCCAAGGUGCUCAGUUAAAUUACACUUGUGCUCACUAGCUUAUCUGCUUGGUGAAGGGAGGAAAUGGUCUCAGUGACGAAUUUUUCACUUUUAGUGCACAGAAAUCUUGUUUGUUUUGACACUUUUGGAGUGUGAAUUCUUGUCCACAUUGAGUUCAUAUUUAUAUUAGUAAGUUGUCUAUAAAGAAAUUAUUUUUGUGCUAAAGAUAAUAUAAAUAAUGACACAGCUAGUAAAUGUGUUUUUAAGCACAUUAGAAGUCUUUGCAUGCAGUUUAUUGUGUAUAUUAUAGUACAAAAUUAUGUAAAAUACAAUUAUAUAAGCUCUUUUUGUUCAUGAAAUAAUUUGAUCAUUUAAAAAUUCUUCUAUGAGUACUUAAGAGAUUUAAAACUAUCUCCUCUUAAAACUUUGUAACUUGUAGCUGUCUUCCUAUUUGUAUCAGGUGCCUUCUCUGAACCCUAUUUACUCAGUAUAUACUAUUAUUUCUUGUAUGUUCAAAUAAUUGGAAGAGAUGCCGGUUGAAGUCUUCAACAUCAAAUCCCAAUUUGGAAUUAUUUGUGUUUUAUUUAUUCUUUUUUUUCCCUAAUAACAGUAUCUGACCCCUAAAUAAUGC